rnacentral:rRNA from 1 species
GAGUGAAGCGGCAACAGCUCAAAUUUGAAAUCUGGCUCUCGGGCCCGAGUUGUAAUUUGUAGAGGAUGCUUUUGGUGAGGUGCCUUCCGAGUUCCCUGGAACGGGACGCCAUAGAGGGUGAGAGCCCCGUCUGGUUGGACGCCGAACCUCUGUAAAGCUCCUUCGACGAGUCGAGUAGUUUGGGAAUGCUGCUCUAAAUGGGAGGUAUAUGUCUUCUAAAGCUAAAUACCGGCCAGAGACCGAUAGCGCACAAGUAGAGUGAUCGAAAGAUGAAAAGAACUUUGAAAAGAGAGUUAAACAGUACGUGAAAUUGUUGAAAGGGAAGCGCUUGUGACCAGACUUGGGCUUGGUUGAUCAUCCGGGGUUCUCCCCGGUGCACUCUUCCGGCCCAGGCCAGCAUCAGUUCGCCCUGGGGGAUAAAGGCAUCGGGAACGUGGCUCUCUCCGGGGAGUGUUAUAGCCCGUUGCGUAAUACCCUGCGGCGGACUGAGGUUCGCGCAUUCGCAAGGAUGCUGGCGUAAUGGUCAUCAGUGACCCGUCUUG